CAAGUCGAGCGGAACGAUGAUAGCUUGCUAUCAGGCGUCGAGCGGCGGACGGGUGAGUAAUACUUAGGAAUCUACCUAGUAGUGGGGGAUAGCUCGGGGAAACUCGAAUUAAUACCGCAUACGACCUACGGGAGAAAGGGGGCAGUUUACUGCUCUCGCUAUUAGAUGAGCCUAAGUCGGAUUAGCUAGAUGGUGGGGUAAAGGCCUACCAUGGCGACGAUCUGUAGCUGGUCUGAGAGGAUGAUCAGCCACACCGGGACUGAGACACGGCCCGGACUCCUACGGGAGGCAGCAGUGGGGAAUAUUGGACAAUGGGGGCAACCCUGAUCCAGCCAUGCCGCGUGUGUGAAGAAGGCCUUUUGGUUGUAAAGCACUUUAAGCAGUGAAGAAGACUCCAUGGUUAAUACCCAUGGACGAUGACAUUAGCUGCAGAAUAAGCACCGGCUAACUCUGUGCCAGCAGCCGCGGUAAUACAGAGGGUGCAAGCGUUAAUCGGAAUUACUGGGCGUAAAGCGAGCGUAGGUGGCUUGAUAAGUCAGAUGUGAAAUCCCCGGGCUUAACCUGGGAACUGCAUCUGAUACUGUUAGGCUAGAAUAGGUGAGAGGAAGGUAGAAUUCCAGGUGUAGCGGUGAAAUGCGUAGAGAUCUGGAGGAAUACCGAUGGCGAAGGCAGCCUUCUGGCAUCAUAUUGACACUGAGGUUCGAAAGCGUGGGUAGCAAACAGGAUUAGAUACCCUGGUAGUCCACGCCGUAAACGAUGUCUACUAGUCGUUGGGUCCCUUGAGGACUUAGUGACGCAGCUAACGCAAUAAGUAGACCGCCUGGGGAGUACGGCCGCAAGGGUUAAAACUCAAAUGAAUUGACGGGGGCCCGCACAAGCGGUGGAGCAUGUGGUUUAAUUCGAUGCAACGCGAAGAACCUUACCUGGUCUUGACAUAUCUAGAUCUGCAGAGAUGGCGGGGAGUGCCUUCGGAAUUAGAGUACAGUGC
rnacentral:rRNA from 1 species